rnacentral:rRNA from 1 species
GUGCCAGCCGCCGCGGUAAUACGUAGGGGGCGAGCGUUGUCCGGAUUUAUUGGGCGUAAAGGAGCUCGUAGGCGGUUCAACAAGUCGGUCGUGAAAGUUCAGGGCUCAACCCUGAAAUGUCGAUCGACACUGUUGUGACUAGGAUACGGCAGAGGUGAGUGGAAUUCCGAGUGUAGCGGUGAAAUGCGUAGAUAUUCGGAGGAACACCAAUUGCGAAGGCAGCUCACUGGGCCGCUAUCGACGCUGAGGAGCGAAAUCUAGGGAAGCAAACAGGAUUAGAUA